rnacentral:rRNA from 1 species
GUCGAACGCGAAAGUCCCGCAAGGGAUUAGUAGAGUGGCAAACGGGUGAGUAACACGUGGGUGACCUGCCUUCGAGUGGGGGAUAACGUCCCGAAAGGGACGCUAAUACCGCAUCACAUCCUGCCUUUGAAGAGGUGGAGCUUAAAGCUGGGGAUCGCAAGACCUAGCGCUUGAAGAGGGGCCCGCGCCUGAUUAGCUAGUUGGUGAGGUAACGGCUCACCAAGGCAACGAUCAGUAUCCGGCCUGAGAGGGCGGACGGACACACUGGGACUGAGACACGGCCCAGACUCCUACGGGAGGCAGCAGUGGGGAAUUGUUCGCAAUGGGCGCAAGCCUGACGACGCAACGCCGCGUGGAGGAUGAAGAUCUUCGGGUCGUAAACUCCUUUCGAUCGAGACGAACGGCUUCCGGGUGAACAAUCCGGAAGAGUGACGGUACCGAGAGAAGAAGCCCCGGCUAACUCCGUGCCAGCAGCCGCGGUAAUACGGGGGGGGCAAGCGUUGUUCGGAAUUACUGGGCGUAAAGGGCUCGUAGGCGGCCAACUAAGUCAGACGUGAAAUCCCUCGGCUUAACCGGGGAACUGCGUCUGAUACUGGAUGGCUUGAGAUUGGGAGAGGGAUGCGGAAUUCCAGGUGUAGCGGUGAAAUGCGUAGAUAUCUGGAGGAACACCGGUGGCGAAGGCGGCAUCCUGGACCAACACUGACGCUGAGGAGCGAAAGCCAGGGGGAGCAACGGGAUUAGAUACCCCGGUAGUCC